AUGGCGUUGAUGCGACUUAUUAAUAGUCGUCCUGAGACCCCUUAUUUUCGUCCACCACCCUUACAUGUGCGUGUAUUAAAAGUCUGUGAACAGGCAAGGGUGAUAAAAUGGGAUGUGAAGGAGGGGGUGGCAAAACCCAUCACUAAAAAGUGUAAUAUGGUGGCAGCCCUCUCUGAUGGGGUAACAGUUGUUAAAGUGACUUUGCAUUUGCAUCAAAAGUGCAGGAAGGGGUUUCUUAUAUAAUUAAAGGGCAUGAGCUAAGAGGGACAGCUCCCCCCUAUGCCAUUCAUAUUAGUGCCACCACACAAUUCUUUAGAGCCUCUGCCCUGUGUGUCCCCGAAGAGCUGCUUUCUAAAGCAGACAAUCUUUUGCAUCCCCUGCCCCCUUUGACCCAGCUGAAGAUGAGCUCUACAAAUGUGGGGCUUAUAACCGUAGAAGGGGAGGUUGUGGAGGGUUUGGCCAUCCGGAAAGUGGUGUCGGGGAACCAAGAAGUUCCAGUCAAAAAUGUGCAGUUAAAGCAGGAUGCUUGUACCAUGAGACUAUUUGUGGAGGGAGGCGGCCGUCCAUGAGCUUCAUGUGGGAGACCACAUAAAGGUGUCCCACGUCAAAGUGAAACGGUCCACUUUUGGAUUCGAGCUGCACACGACAGCAUUUACAAAAAUUGAGACAAAUGAAGAGGCACGUGCAGAGGUUAAUGUCGUCGGUGUCACCAGUACCAACAGCCCCAAUCAGCUUGAGCUACUACUGGAAGAUGGAAAGAGCCUGUUUAUUGACGCGCACAUGUGGCAGCCAUUUGAGAAAGACCUCGAGAAGGCCAUGGUCUGUGUAAACAUAAAACUGAAAGGGAAGCAUGUUUCAGAGAUUGAAA